rnacentral:lncRNA from 1 species
GAGGAAGCCAAGGUCCGAAUAAGGUCCUGAGGUGGAUUUUAGGACCGGCGCUGCUUUCCAUGUCUUAGACCAUGAUUCCGAAUUUGGGUUCUAAAACUUAAGCUUUGAAAUGAGUACCUUUUGCUGAGCAACGACCUAGAGGUGAUUUUCGGUGGCCAAAGGCUGGACCUGUCUCCUCUCGAGGGGUUCCAGCUAGUUAGUUAAAACGGAGGAGCUGCGGUGGGGAAGGAGACGCUCUGCCCGCCGGGUGCGAGCACGUGUGGCCCUGCGGCCGCCGCCCGCUCUGGGCUGGGGAGAUGAAGGUGCUUUCCGGUAGCCGACUUGGGAGGUUGCCCACUGGGUGGGUAAUAGGUCUCUCGAGUAGGUCUCAGCCCUGUCGCUGGUUCGGUUCAGUGGUAAUUGUCAAACUAAAUGAGUUCUGCUGUAGUUCCUUAAUGUGUA